CGGGGCAUAGCGCAGUCUGGUAGCGCACCUGCUUUGGGAGCAGGGGGUCGGGGGUUCGAAUCCCUCUGCCCCGACCA
rnacentral:tRNA from 7 species